CUUCACUGGGUUCCGGUAGAAAUCCAGGCACAGCGAGCACAUCGCCCCGCUCAGCAUGGUCUUGUGCGUCCGCUGGAUCAGGAGACCAGGCAGCGAAUUUGGUAUUUCAAUUCGAAUUUCAACACAUGCCAUGGAUUUGAAUGUCCCCGGAACAUGUGCCUGGUCUCUGGACUGCUCAUCCGCUGAUAAUACCAUUAUAUAACCGUGUACUCCAAUGUGAUGAAAACACAUAAGCUAUGACCUCAUCAGUCUGUGGAAAGUGUACCUAUAAAGCGACAUGUGUAAAAGUCCACAAAUCAUUUAAAAAGAAUAGCUUUUCUAACUAACUUAUGCCCUAUAGUCUUAUACCAAUUAAAUAGUGUGGUGUCUAAGAAA